UAAAAGCAUCCUUAUUUCCACUUUUAGGGAGAACACUCACUCUAGCAAUCUUAUUGAUAACAACAGGGUGAUGCCUAAGUCCAUUUGUUUUCGCAAGAGCACAUGCAAUUCUAGUUCUAGGAGGCUCAUACAAUUGAACAAUAUCAUCAACCUCAAAUGGAUCCUCCAACAUAAUAUUGUGACUAGACUUAUCAAAAAUGAAAGUAUGGUUCAAUUGAUUGACAGCAGCAAAAUCAGCAAAUGUAGCCUCAUAUUAAUUUUUACCGGUCAUCCACUCAAGUUUAUCUUCAUCCAUAUUAAU
rnacentral:lncRNA from 1 species